ACUACGGAGAGUUUGAUCCUGGCUCAGGAUGAACGCUGGCGGCGUGCUUAACACAUGCAAGUCGAACGAACCUUCGGGUUAGUGGCGGACGGGUGAGUAACGCGUGGGAAUCUGCCCUCAGGAGGGGGAUAACGG
rnacentral:rRNA from 1 species